UACGAGGGGAGCAAGCGUUGUUCGGAUUUACUGGGCGUAAAGGGCGCGUAGGCGGCGUGACUAGUCACUUGUGAAAUCUCCGGGCUUAACUCGGAACGGUCAAGUGAUACUGUCGUGCUAGAGUACAGAAGGGGCAACUGGAAUUCUCGGUGUAGCGGUGAAAUGCGUAGAUAUCGGGAGGAACACCUGUGGCGAAAGCGGCGCACUGGACCAUAACUGACGCUGAGGCGCGAAAGCUAGGGGAGCAAACAGG
rnacentral:rRNA from 1 species